UAUCCUAGCCCGGCUACUCCUUCGUGGGUUGGUUCGAUGUGCUGGUAUAAUUUACCAUCCUUCUAGAUUGCCGUGAGUACCAUUUACUUGGCCGCUCGCGUGCUUUAAUUCUAGAUCUUUUACUUUGAAAAAAUUAGAGUGUUUAAAGCAGGCUUACGCCUUGAAUACAUUAGCAUGGAAUAAUAACAUAGGACUUCGGUUCUAUUUUGUUGGUUUCUAGGACCUUAGUAAUGAUUGAUAGGGAUAGUUGGGGGUGCUAGUAUUCAGCGGCCAGAGGUGAAAUUCUUGGAUUCGCUGAAGACUAACUACUGCGAAAGCAUU
rnacentral:rRNA from 1 species